rnacentral:sRNA from 1 species
AACAAAGCCAUUGAGGCUGCCCUGGCUGCCCGGAAAGAGUGGGACCUGAAGCCUAUUGCAGAUCGGGCCCAGAUCUUCCUGAAGGCGGCAGACAUGCUGAGUGGGCCGCGCAGGGCUGAGAUCCUCGCCAAGACCAUGGUGGGACAGGGUAAGACCGUGAUCCAAGCGGAGAUUGACGCUGCAGCGGAACUCAUCGACUUCUUCCGGUUCAAUGCCAAGUAUGCGGUAGAGCUGGAGGGGCAGCAGCCCAUCAGCAUGCCCCCGAGCACCAACAGCACGGUGUAUCGGGGUCUGGAGGGCUUCGUGGCGGCCAUCUCGCCCUUUAACUUCACUGCAAUCGGCGGCAACCUGGCGGGGGCACCGGCCCUGAUGCUCCGAGAGGGAGUUGUGACUCUGCCUCUUUGCCAGAUGACAAAACUGAGACACACAGCCGUGACUUACUUGGCAAGACUGAGUGACUAGUAAAUAAAUGAUGGAGCAGAGAA